AACGAACGCUGGCGGCGUGCCUAACACAUGCAAGUCGUGCGAGAAAGUUCCUUCGGGAGCGAGUAAAGCGGCGCACGGGUGAGUAACACGUAGGUAACCUGCCCCCCAGUCUGGAACAACUAGAGGAAACUCUAGCUAAUGCCGGAUGAGACCACGAUCCCUUCGGGGUUGCGGCCAAAGAUGGCCUCUACUUGUAAGCUAUCGCUGAGGGAUGGGCCUGCGGGCCAUUAGCUUGUUGGUGAGGUAACGGCUCACCAAGGCUGUGAUGGCUAGCUGGUCUGAGAGGAUGACCAGCCACACUGGGACUGAGACACGGCCCAGACUCCUACGGGAGGCAGCAGUGGGGAAUAUUGCGCAAAUGGGGCGAAAGCCUGAACGCAGCGACGCCGCGUGGGUGAUGAAGGCCUCGGUCGUAAGGACCCUGUCGCAGGGAA
rnacentral:rRNA from 1 species